ensembl:snoRNA
UAGACCCGUGAUGUCAACUGGUGGCAAAUGAAUUAUAGGCAAUGACUACUAUGUGUCGGUUACUCCCAACACAAAAGAUAAUUAGUUUAA